CAGUCCACUUCCGGGUUUGCCACCAAGCAUGCAAAGGGGCCUGCCCCCCCAUGCUUCUGUGGGACAUUCCAUUUGCCCCAGCAUCACAGUGUCCACGAGCUGCUCUGGUACCUGGAGGUAUGUAGAAAAAACAUUUAAACCUGUGUUUAUGUCCAAAUCACUGAUUCUCUGAAUCGAAUUGGGGACAAUGAUCUGAAUCAACGAAUUGAAUCAUUGUGCCCAGUUCAGGCCAAAUCUGAAUCCGAAUCAAAUAGGGGCCACUUUGCACACCCCUACAGGAUAAUAAACAACUUUAGAGAGGAUUAUCUCAUUUCUCAUGGAGACUUUGCCUAGAACUCCCAAAUUGCCCUGCUGCCACUUAGGACAUCCAGAAUCAGCCUGUCAUAGUCAGCAAUCUUUUCUGGACUGUGAAUCUGUUCAGAGGGAGGUGAAACUGAUGUAACCUAGGGGUGGUGAUAAGAGACCUUUAGAAAUAUCUAUGUACUGUAUUUUGAUGAGGCAAGGAAGAGCAGGAGUAAGAGUUUACUCUAAUGGGAGCCAAGAGCAGAGAGGAGAGGAGGGAACUGGGCACAUGUGCAUCCCCACGCAUGUGUACCCCCUUACCUGACCCGAGACGGAGGCAGAGGUGGACCCAACAGUGGACCCAGCAGCAGGGACAGCAACAGCUGAUCCCCCAAAGGUAAGUGGGGCAGAGGGAACCAGCACAGCUGAGCUGGAUCCAGAGGGGAAGCCCCCCGAAUUCCUUUUAGUUGUGCUGGUAGGGAGCCAUGCUCCUGAGCUGUGCUGUGUGAAUAGAGCACACAAGCAGGGGGAGGGCUAGGGGGGACUGUUCCCCCAGGCUAGGAAGCACCCCCAGGGCUAACCCUCGGGGUGCAGGCACUGGCAGCACCAGAUCCCCCCAGCGGGGGAACGUAGGGGGCGGGGCUGCUGGCAGGCACUUCUGGGAAGCCUGGAGUGCCUAAUUGGCUGUUGGGGCAGCUGCUGGAUAUUCAAACCACGGCCUUUAAAAGCCAUGGCUUGAUGUAGCCCCUGGCACUUGGGAGCCAGGAGCAGAGAAGAGAAGAGGGAACUGGGCACACGUGCGUCCCCGCACACACAAAGGCACCACACAAAAAUAUAAAUAAAUAGCAAAUUAUAAAAUGGUGUUGAUGCAGAGUGCUGCUUGGGCCCCUGCCAGGGAGGCGCCGCCUACCUGCGGCUUGUCUGAGGCCUUCACCCAGACAGAGCCCAUGGGGGAGCUGGUGUCCCCUUGCCCCUCAGCCUGCAGGGGUUGCCCAGCAGGGCCAGGGGGGCAGGGAGUGGGGGCCCCCACACCUGUCCUGUAGGCGCCUGACUUAGGGCCCUGGAGGCGCAAGUGAGGGAGCUCCAGGAGGUUAGCAGGCUGAGGGGAAUCAGGGAGGCGGAGAAUGAAAUUGAUGGGUAUCUUUUCUUCCCUGCAGGGCCAUGCCUCCAAGGAAGAAGCACCCCACGAGGUGCCCUCCACAGCAGAGUGGCAGAUGGUCCCCUUCAGAACCAGGGCUGCUCACAGCAGAGCAGUACCCGUUCCUCCAGUCUGGCUGGAGAACAGGUACGAGGCCCUGGCGACACUGCAGGAGAAGGAAGGAGAGGAGGAAACCUCCAGAGAGGAAGCCACUCCACACUCUGAACAGGCUGAAGGAGCUAAGCAGACCCGGAGGAAGAAAUGUUGAGUGAUUGUCAUAGGCGACUCCAUCCUGAGAGGUACAGAGGGUCCCAUCUGUCGCCAGGACCCUUCGACACGCGGGGUCUACUGCCUGCCUGGAGCAAAGAGUCAGGAUGUGAUGGGGAUGAUCCUGGCCACUAUCCAGCCCACUGAUUACUACCCUAUGGUCCUAAUCCAUGUGGGCACUAAUGAUGUGUCCAGGAGAAGCCCUGAUCACCUGAUGACAGACUGCCAUGCUCUGGGGGGCAUGCUGAGGGAGAUGGGGCACAGGUGGUAUUCUCUUCUGUCCUACCAGUGAGCAGACAUGGAAAAUGACACAAGACCUGCAUCUGAGAGGUGAACUUGCGACUUCAGGAAUGGUGUCUUGAGGCGGGCUUCAGCUUCCUAGACAACGACCCACACAUCAGAUCAGGAUGAGAGACAUGCUCGGGUGGGAUGGGCUUCACCUUUCCCCCAAAAGUAAGUGUGUGUUCUCUUCUAGGUUGGCUGAUCUCCUCUGGCAGGCUUUAAACUAGGCUCAUCGGGGGUAGGGGAAGAUGAGGGCUGAGGAAGCCUUGGACCACUAAACCAAGAGUCACCCACAAGAGCAGUCCAGCCUAGACCGAUGACGAGGGGAACAAAUACCCACGAGGUGCACAGCCCCACCAGGGGGAGACGUCUUGUUGGACCUGGUGCUGGCCACAGGCAAUGACCUGGUGAGGGGUCUGCGGGUGGUCGACCACCUGGACGACAGUGAUCAUCGCCUGCUAGAAUUCACCAUCCAGCACAAGGUGGCAAAGGCCUGCAGCAAGGCAGCAGCCCUGGACUUCAGGAGAGCAGAUUUCAAUGAGGUUGUCCACAUCCUGCUUGAACUGCGGCAUCUAGAACUGGACACAGUACUCCAGCUGCGGUCUGACCAGUGCCACAUAGAGAGGGAGAAUCACCUCCCUGGACCUGUUUGUGAAGCACCUACAGAUGCACGACAAGGUUUCUGGAACUUUUCAAAGGAUAUUUCUGUGAUCAUUGUGCUGAUUCAGGGUUUGGGCCCUUAAAAGAUGAUGGCUCUAAACUCUGACUGCUCUUCUGUCUGCUACAAUUGAUCAUAGGCAGUUGCCUGGGGCAGUGACUAUCCAGUUGCCAUACAAAAUGUGUAUGUUUAUGGGUAGGAUUUCCAAAGUGACCCUGAGGGCCCAACAUGAAACACGUGGAAGGGUCCUGAGUUUUACAGACCCCUUUUAAGGAGUCAUAAGGUCAUUGAUGAAGACAUUGAACAAAACUGACCCCAGGACUGGAUGGACAGGAUGGGCUCCACCAAUCAAAACAGCAGAAUCUCCAGCCUGAGACUCAACCCAAGCUCUGAAAGAGCCGGGAGCUGGGACUGCGAGAGUGGAUGGGGGAUGAGGACUCAUGACAGACCCCCCACACAUCACGGGGCAGUGGGGGGCAGCAGGGAUCACCCCCCCCCCGCCUGGCAGCAACCGCUACUUCUACUAUCUACCAUCUAUAGGAAUACCUUAAAAGAGAUGUCAGCACUCCUAACUUCAGAGUGUAUUCCUCAAAUAAGAAGAUAUAAGAUAAAAAUAAUGCACUCUCUUCAUUUUUUCAAGAUGAUUUUGCUUCUUUAUUUGUUGAACAAUUCAUUUUGUUUACAAUUCACUGGGUUACCUGGCAGGAAACCUGCUCCUAUGAAAAUGGAAAAAUAUAAUGAACAGUUCAAGCUAAGCAGCCUUUAUUUGAUGGUUGACUCUACAAUACUGACAAAUAUGUUCAUUUUCUACAAUGCUGCAUCAACUGACUUCUAUAUGGAAAGCCUUCUUCACCAAAUAUACAACAAAGAAGGGGGGAAAAACACCAGGAUUUUAUGUUCCAAAGAUAAUGAUCAACUUUGCAAAAUCCAAACUUUUGUGCACAUUUUCAUACCAAAGACAGAGCAAAAGAGGACUACAAAACCUUCAGGUUCCCUUCUGCAAUUUUGUAGCAAUGCCCUUUGUUGUCAUGGUAGGAAGUAAAAAAACACAGAACAUUAUUAGCGAUCGCUUUUGCACUUAGUCUUGUUUGGUGAUCACCACCCUUCCCCAGCCCUGUCCUGACUUCCGUGAUCUCUGGGAGUGGGAAUGACUCCAUUAAAUAGGGCACUAAAAUAAUUUAAUAAACACACUGUGUAAACAAGCCUCUGUGAGAUGGUAGGAAAUGCAGCCCCAGCGAGGUCCUGCAUAGUGACAGAAAGCACUCUCGCUAUAUGGAGAUUCAAUCAAACAAGCUGUUGAAUUAAAGGUCAAAAUGGAAUUCUUUCCCACCCUUUUUCAUUUUUCCAAGCCAAACAUUUUAUUGGCUCUAAAACAGCAAACAAAAAAUAUAUAUAUAUCCUGAGCAGCCAAGUGCUCACCCUGUUACUUUUCAUCUAAAUACAACCUAAUGCCAGUUUUAGAUUUAUUUAAAAAAAUAUCCCAUUACCCAUUUAACUCAUGAUUUAAUUGUCCUUGAAUUUCCACUACUUGUAUUACAGAGGCUUCUAGGACUGGCUGAUUUGUGAAAAGUAAUGAGAAAAGUAUUUCUACACUGACUUCCAUUGCAAAUUCAUUGAAGCCAGUAUAUACACACCUUAUGUAUGCCUCUGCAUGUAUAUGCACAGAAUGAGGUUCAGUGAAUCAUAAAGUGCAUCUACAUGGUGCAAGAAAAUGGUGUGCUGAGACACCUGAUACCUUCUGUAUGCUACCUAGCUCCUGAACAACAGCUCUGAGAAGUGGAGCUUAUUGGUCUUUAUUCAGCGCCCUAUUAAUAAUAUGUCUGAGAGCUUCCUUGUGCCAUAUAGACAUACCCACAGUGCCUGCUUCAUUCUAGCACACACCCAUACAGGGCUGAAUUAAUGCAUAGGCAAACUAGGCACAUGCCUAGGACCCUAGGAAGGUGACCAGUUGUGCUUAUUUUAUAUAUUAUAACUAUUGAAUGAAAUAAAGUAAUAUACAUACACAGUAUGAAGUAGGGGCCCACGAGUUUGUUUCCCUAGGGACCACUAAAGGGUUAAUCCGGCCCUGCACACAUGCAUAGAUGUGCAUAUUAUUUUUAAUUUUUAAACCUCAAUCCCUUUUUAAUUCACAGUUACUCAGUCCAUAUUGGUCCACUGAAUUUACUUUCAGUUCAUCCUACCCUACCAAAAAAAUUGCAAAGGGUCAAGGGCACAGACCUAUUGGGGCUAUACAGGUGUUGAAUAGGAAAGGUCAGAAUUCACGAAGUGAAUGUGAUUACCAGUAAUGAAAUUUGCUGCAGCUACCUCCAUUUUUCUGUGAAAGGCUACAAGUUUGUCUGGGUUGUGUGUGCAGACUGGCAGACAGUGACAGUACACCUGCUCUGUGAAUGAUAAGGAGAAAUGAAUGAAUUUCAUACUGACAGCUCGUUAAUCCAUUACCUGGCAGCUACUGCUUCGAAACCUGAUCACAAUUUACAAAAACUCACAUACUGCUGCCUGAAGUCUUAUUUAGUAAUAUCUGUGCAAUCUGUGAAUGAAUCCAACCUGGAGUCAUAUAUAAUAAUCAUAAUGGGAUUCACUGGCAGAUAUUAGCUUUCUCUCAGCUAACCCAAGGAAAGGAUUUUUCAUUAUUCUCUUCAGCACAGUGACUAUUAUUAAAUUUAACAUGUGGCAGAAAAGUAAUACUUUUUCUUGUUCUUACAAUUGAAACAUAUAAUGCAGUUGAAACAUGUAAUCCCUUGGUAUUUAUGCAUUGCACUUAAUUGUAAAUGGUUGAUAGCAUAGAUCUGUAUUGUAGGUUAAAUAAAUUAUUGUUAUUCUUGAUUUUUAUACAGUUAGGCAUGGAGUAAUUUUAUUUGUAUUAAGCAUCCAUGGUCAUUCCUCAUGCAUUUAUCAUAAACAUAUUUAAUCAAAUCUUAAGGUCCUUUAUUAAGGACACAAGGUUUCUUACUCAAAAGAGGCAUGGGCUUACUUAUUGAGUGAGGACUACUCCAUGUAAGUAAUGAUGAGAGAUGUGAGCCCUUAGUUCUUAUUCAGACCUUACUUGGGCAAAAUUCCUGAAGAUUGUAAGGGACAAAGAGCUAAGGAGUGACUAAAAAAAGAAAAGACUGAUACCUGCUCAUCUACUACAAUACUUACAGUAGCACAAACUGGAUGUAAAAUGUUGUCUUACGGAUUUAAUGGCAUGAUAUCUACAUUUUGCAUUGGUGAUAUCUUUUUACGUGGGGUAAAUGCACUGUCCAAAAGCAACCCACCGUAUUGCUUUUUAAGAGGUACCUAUAGAUCCCCCACUCUUUUCUACUCCUCUCACAACUCCUCAGCUAAGAGCCUCAUUAGCUCUGCUCUGCUAUGGCUGUCCUAGAAAAUCUGUCUCUUUAAGGGUGACCAACAUAGCAGCCAGGACUUUCUGUAGCAAAGCAGGCUUCGCUGAUCACCCAGCCCCACCACUCUCAUAUACUUUCCAAAGAGAAGAGAAAACCUUAGAUGGCAAAAUGUCUAGUACUGGGCCUUGCCUAGGCAGCUCUUCAUUUAAAUGGAUAUAAAAAAGGGGAAAUAUCAUAUGAUGAACACUUUCAGAUGAGGUAUUCAUUCAGUAGAGCUAAUUUGAUCGUAUCUAAAUGUGAGGCAAAUUUUGGUAAAGGAUUUUGCAUUACCUAAAAGAGGUGCGGUAAUCAGGGAAACCUGUGAGAAUAUAUACUGCCCCACACCACUUGAUGGUUUAAAAUGCAUCCCAAAUUAUUUACAAACAUGGAAGCUGUCUCUGAAAUAAGGCCAAACUUGUUUUUGAGUGUACACUCUGUAUAUAUGUAUAUGUGUAUGUGUAUUUUUAUGAUCAAUAUAUAGUGACCAGGGUGUGUUACAGGUCUUUUUUGGGUCAUGGUUUAUCAUCAUCAUUGACAGCCAUUGAAUUUGGGAGACUAUGGAGAUUGUGCCUUUGGGGGGUUACCAGGUACUGUCACAGCUUCUUGAGUGGCUGAGGAGUCCGACGUGGAAAAAACAGAGCUUGUUGAGCUUGGAUGUGGCUACAUGUGAGUCUAUUGUAGCCUCUACAUGGGCUGAGAUCAACAAUGAGGUGAUCCUCAUGCACCAACUCUGCUGGACCAGACAUUGUGUGCCUGACUCUUGACUCCUAUAACAAAUGCUCUACUCCUAGCUCAGUAACAACCUGCGAUCGUGCAGUGGCCAGAGAAAACACUGCAAGGACACAUUGAAGGCAUACCUCAUGAAAACAGAUGCCGACGUCAAGACUUGGGAGGAGCUGGCUGCUGACUGACUCCGGUGGCAUCACAACCUCAAUCAAGCAACUUCCGCAUUUUGAGGGAAAGCGUUUUACCCUCAAAGCAGGCAACAGAGAAAAGAGGAAAGAAAAGUAGAGAAAUCUUGGCCUACAGCCUACCCUCCCUUGUGGAAAGACCUGCAACUUCUGUGAACUGGUCUGUGGCUCAAGGAUUGGACUCUUAGGUCAAUUUAAGACCCAUCAAUUAGCUUUGGUAGAGAUCAUCCUCAAAUUGAGGGAUUGCUGAUGAUUAUUGCAGAUUUAAAUCAGCACUUUCUGCUUUAAUGCAAGCUCUACAGAUCCAUAAUUUUAGAUCUAGUUCCUCCUGCUCCAUCUACAGGAUCAGCCAAGAUGGCAAUCAUUAAGCACAAGCUGGCCUGAAUAUUUUGUUGAUUUAUAAACUAUAUUGAAAAAGUAAUUAGCACACUCCUGUCAAAAGGAUGCUUACUUCCUGUACCAGAGUGUCAUGGAUUUGAUCUACAUAAUCCACAACAGCCAUUGGAAAAACUGAUACUAUUGUCCAACAGAUGUGGUGGUUAAUACCAAAGGCUUCUAUGAUUUCUCUGGAGCUACUCACUCUUGACCAGCAGCUUAUCAAUUUAGGGUCCUCUGACUUUUUACAAAAACUGAAUCUUGUAAAACAAAUCUCAUUUUCAUAUUUCUGUUACUCCUACUGCUAACAGGAACAUGUAACGGUUUAAUUUAUGUAGACAAUAAUCAUUAUGUUUGCCUUUAUUUUUUACUGCUUUACCAUGAAUAAUCAUCUGUGCAAGUAGUUCCCCAUGGCUUUUCCUAGAACCUGCUUUGCUAGAAUCGCAGUGUGUAGAGCAGAACUAUAAAAAUGUGAGGCCAGAUACUGAACCGGUCUCUAUCAACUUGACUUUAAUAGAGUUUCAUUGAGUUAUAUCACCUGAGAACCUGGUUCCAAAGAUUUAAUCACCAAAUACAACAAAAACAUGAAUAAGUACCAUCACAUGCUAUAUAGUCUUCAUGUAAUGUUUCAUGGAAUGGAACAGUUCCAGACCAUUCUGAGGUACGUAACAUCUGCAGCAUAAAAUAGGGAGUUUUGAUGCCCUGCUCAGGGUUCUGGAUUCUGCCCUCCAUGAACAAUUGAUCAUGGAUCUUCCUGGCUAAAAUAUUAUUUUAACUGGCUAAAAUGGAGCAUAUGAGUCAUGGACAUUUCAUAGAGUUGCAAACACAGGGAAGAGACGGGCAGCCCGACUCAGUAGAAUCCACAGUUACUCGCAGACAUGGAAAGAAGACAGUAUGAUCAUCAGACACACAAGGUGACUUUGUAGCUUUUGUUCCUGGUUAUUGAAUACUGAGUGAAAAUUAAAAUGUUGCUCCUUGAGUAUUUCCUUGAAACUGUGUCCCCACACCCUCUUUCUUUUUUAAAGAAUGAAAACCUGUUUCUUAUCUACAUGAAAAAAUUGUGGUAAAUACUAAAAAACAAACAAACUGUUUUCACAACUGAUUGAAAUAUGAAGUAAAUUAAUUGCCAAAUGAUACUGAAUGCAGCUGAUCACAGGGCUAACUAUAGUCAAAAGCUGCUAGCAGGAUAACUAUGGUGCCACAAGAGGCUGAAACUACCUUGGGGUCCCAAGGGCAGUUAUCAUGGCCUUUAACUGAACUGUGCUGAUUGAUCAUAGUAUGUGACAGAAAACAGGAAAGCAAAACUAUAACAAAUGGACCCCCAAAUACAUCUCUAGCAAAUUAAUUCUGUCACCUUUCCUUAACGACAAUUUCUCUACCUUAGACUAUAAAGGGACAAUUUUACAUAUUUCCAUAGGUAAAUCUGGAUUUUGAAAAUGGGGGUGCAGAUGGUGUAGCACAUCAUAACAUAUAAUGCAACACAUAUUUUUCUUCCAUUAAAAUGAAACUAGAAUCUUUACUAAUACAGUAUGGGCUUGAUGCUAUAUUAUUCAGUUUCAGACUAAAGCAAAAACAAAUAUAACUUUAUUGGAAUGUACACUAGUUUUCUAGAAUAUAUAUUUAGUUUAAAAACACAAACUUGGCAAAAAUAGUCAAAAAUAUUUUUUAAUUAGUUCUGUAGUCAUUAUAGUUCAAUGUAUGUCUCUUAUUCAGAUUCAUAAAACAAAAUCAAGUCUUCUUGAGUGUUUUGACAGUACCUCCAAUACUUCAGUGCAAGUCAUUUCUACAGCUGAGUUAAUAGUAGCACACCUAAGUUCAGGUUUUUAGCUAGAGCUAAAAACAACCUUUAGAACUGUGAAAUAGCAGAGACACAUUAUCAGGAAUGGCUAAUGGACAGCAAAAUUGCAAGAAAGGAUAGUUUGAAUGGUGGAACAUCAAGACUAUUAGAAAGGAGAGAAGGUCAUUAACAACUGUGAAGUGAAGAGAGAUUAACAUCAAUCAGGUAAAUUAUAAUGAGUCAUAAAGUUAAUUAACUUCCUCAGCACUGUCUAAAUAGAAAUCUUGCUGCCUCUUCCAGGCAGUUGGUUCUAAAGUUUGGAUGGGGCAGGAAUCAAAAGGGAUGCAAAUGCAUCACUGCACCUCCCCACAUCCCCAACCCACUGGAUCUGCCCCAUGUAUACCUCUGGACUAUGUAAUGCUUUGAAAAAUUGUACAGCAAAUAAGAGCAAGGACAGGCAGACAGACAGGUUACUCCUUCCAUGCCUGUCUCUUCUUAUGAGAGAACUGGGUUUGAGGAAGACUGUGGGGCUAGGUACAGAUAUUCAAGAAGCCCAAGGUGGAAUUGAUCUAAUUUAGGUGGUUUUCUGUAAGCGGUGUAGUUUAGAUCACUACGAACAGAACACACGUUUACCCUUUGGUGGAGGAAGGGCAAAUCUUAGACUGGGUUCCACCAUUUUUAAACAAAUCUAUGUCUUCUGUUAUGGGUAUAAGCUGGUUUUGUGUGCUGAACUUCCGUUCUGUUAGGGCUAUAGAUCAAUUCCAAUCAUUUACACUAGUAAAAGUAUAAUGUCUGUAUCUGGCCAGAGUGAGGGGGCAUUUUUCUGUUGGCAUGGACAUUACAGCCAAUUGGCUUUGCAUGUUUCUUUUCAUUGGUUUAAAUAUUUGAGAUGCUUGUUCUUUGUGAGUGCCCCAGUCUCCGUCCUGUAGUUAUCAUAUAGGAUGCUGUAAGUCUGACCAUUUUUCUGUUUCUGGUGGCAGAAGGAAUUUUGGGAGAGGCCUGGUGUUUUUCUUCCUUUUUCAUAGCAGCAAGUGGGCACAACUGGGUUAAUGGUGUAGGACUCAGAAACUUGGUAUCUACUAGUUUAUAAAAAUACUUGUCUCACGACAGCCAGUGUCAAAGCAGAUAAGCCAAAGGGCCAGAGCCCAGAAGAAUGGGAGUAGAGAUUUCACUGAUAGGACUUGGGUGUAUGAAAGAAGAGGAAAAGUUGAACCCCUUCCAGACUGGGAUUUCCCUCUGGGUACAUGCUAUUUCCCUUGAGAAAGGGAGCAUGGGAGAAUUAAAAAACUGAGUUGAAUGUGUGGAUAUUCUGAGGAGUAAUAUAACCUGGGAAUGAUAGGUUAUCCCAUAGGAGUCCUGUAACUGUCACAUUGGACCCAUAUGAAAACAGAUCGAUGCAAUAACUUAUCAAAUUUUUGCAAGCUACUAAGAAAGCCAUCUCUGUGUCUGUCUACAAUCACCUGUGAGAUGGGAAGGUUAACAUAGAAUUUAGCCCCAUGUUGUUUUAACAUCUCAUAAACAGUAUGCAUUGAUGGGCAGGUUUCACCUCUCAGAUCUGCUCACCGUAGCCACCCUUUUAUUCUCUUCAAAUAGUUUAAGCUUCCCCAUUAUAAGAUUUCUCUCUCUCAAGGGUUUCUAACUGGAAUUGCAAUCAGUUACAAUGCACUUUACAGGAAAUGUAUAGAAUGGGUAAUAGGUAAAUAAGUUAUUGGUACAUACAUGCUGUAAUGAUAAGUCUUUGGCCUAAGUCUCAUAUUGUCUUAUAAUAUAAUAUAAAUAUAGGAUUGCUAUGGACAGAGUUUGGGGGAAAGAAUCUAAUCACUGUAAAAGAAUAAAAGGAGAUAAUGUGACAGUGUAUUUUGUAUUAUGAUACUUCAAAUUCACCUUCAAGAUGAAACUGGAUGCUUAUCUUGCUGGGAUCCUAUGACCCCAGCUGACUUCCUGCCCUUUGGGCGGGGGGCUGGACUCGAUGAUCUUCCGAGGUCCCUUCCAGCCCUAAUGUCUAUGAAAUCUAUGAAAAUUAUCACUCUUUUAUUAGUAAAUCAGUGCACAGUAAAGUGUUAUUAGACCUGAUGAAAUAAUUUGUUGCAAGUAAGAUGUGCUGUAAAUUGUGCAAAUUGUUGUCCCUUCUUAUUUUUAUCAUCUGUAUCUAUUGCCUUAACCACAAUUAUUUUCAGGUUUUAGACUACUGGGUAAACCAGUGAAGUAAGACUUUAACCUUUCAGGAAUUAAGACAAUUCCCAACUUCAGACUGUGCUACAAGGAUUCAAUGGUGACAGUCCCCUUUUCUGUCACCAGCAGCAUUGCUCUAUGGCUUUCUUUUUUUCCAUGUCAUAAAUUGCGGUAAGAUAUCACUCAUAGCAGCCACCGAGCUCCCUAUCUAGUAGACGUGUUAUCCUUCUCCUUACCUCCUUUUGGUAUGGUAGAAGGCAAACUAUUACAUGAAGUAGUGACUAAACAAUUAAGAAAUAGCCAGCAUUGCUAGAAGGCUUGAACAUAAUGUUCUCAUUUUAAAAUAUUGCUUAAGACAAAAAGGGGGAAAAUAGUCCCAAGACCAAAAAAUCGUAAAUAAAUUAUAGACUUGCAGUGGAAUAGUCACUGCCAUUGUUAUAUUUUUGUUCCACAUAUUCUGGUUUUGCAAUAACUUUGUCAGCCAGAAUAAAUCUCAGGUCAGCACCAAGAACUUUUCCACUGAUGAUCUAAGACCCAUUAAUAAUAUGCAACCAAAUUUGUGCAGCCUUUAUACGUGCGUGUAUGUGUGUGUGUGUGUGUGUGUGUGUAUAUACUUACACAGUUGGGACCUAAAUUUCAAUAACCACCAAUUUAUAUUAGCUCUUGAAUUACUAAUGGCCCAGCUUGGUGUUCUGGAAAAUUCUGCUUAAUUGCUUUAUAUGCCUCUGCUCUCUAGCUGUCUGCAAUCUCUCUCCAGCUCACUUGACCACGCUAUGUUGAAUAACUAGAGUGUUAACAGAAUUUUUUCCUAAUAUUAUUCAGCUGAUGAGGCCCAAAGCCAUAUGACUUAGGGUUUCCAUGUAGCUGGAAUGGAGUUAUAAUCAUACAAUCCACUUGAAUGGUUACAGUUUAUAAAAAUAAUAGCAGCAUAAAUAGUAUCACUUAUAAUUAAUUCCACUGACAUUAUUUCAACUAAUAUAAUGGAACUCAGAAAUGCCUGAAGCAACAUUUUUGCUGAUCUGUGUUUUUUUCCAGUUCACCACCAAUAUCCCCUUCUCAACAUUCCUGUUCCUUAUAUCUUCUUUUGUCUUGAAGCUCUCAUGGUAAUACUACAAGGCAUACCUUAGAUGGCUGGAGAAAAUCUCCUUGUUAAUUACUUCCCUUCUGAUGUUCAGCCCUUUUGUGCUUUUUUUUUUUCUAUUUGCAGAAAAGAUAAGGGUAAAAGGCCAGGAAAAAGGAAGCAAGCGAAGAUGUAACAAAAGCCUAAGUGUAUAGAAGAAAUGGGAGAGAGAGACUAUAACAAAGUCUCUCUUUUGGUUCAGCCUAUAGAGCUGUUCUUCUAGUUCAGCACUGCUGUAUGCACCUGGGAAUCUGAUAAUGUAUACAGUACAUAUAUUGUCUAGCCUCAUUUACAUUCUGUAUUUGGCACUGUCUGAUAGCAAACCAUGUGAUGGGGGGCAAUGCAAUACUGGGACGGAAGAAGCUACUCUGGUAUACAUUUCAUGGCCUUGACUCACAGCUGUCUUUGUGGGAAUGCUAUGGAAACAAUGGAAAAAACUGUGGAUAAGGCAGAAGAGCUGAUGAGCUUGGUCUUCUGUAGCUGCAAGCUUAUAUGCCAGAGAAGCUGUGGGUAUUGACAUUUAAUUCAAGCAAAGAGUUCUUCUAAAAUUAAUUAAUUGACUGUCAAACCAUUGCACUAGAUUCUCUCUAUAAUGUGUAUAUACAUUAUGCACACACACAAAGCAUCUUCUGUAUACCCACCAAGUAGUACACAGAUUAGCAGGCCUUUAUGGAUACUUCUGAUCUGAAACCAUAACUGCAUUGUUAAAUUGUUGCUCUGUAGCUGCAACUGGUGCCAGAACUGCAAGUAGAACAGAGAAUUGCAUAUCUGAACACCUGAAUUUUAUCCCUUUACUCUCAUGCCAACUCAGAGCUGGGUCCCAGGUAAAUUACCUAGGACUAGAUUCUCAGAAAAGCAGGUGUGCAUUGAGUGUCCAAUAAUAAUAUUAGUGUAAAAACAUCUAACAUUAUCUUUAUAAUUGUAUAUGCAAAUCUUGUGCAGCAGUUAUAAAUUGCAGCCAACAUUCAAUUACUAAAACUACAUUCACUAACUUGGUAAAUAUUGUCUGUAAGUUAGGUCCAGAAAUGCACGCCCAAUUUUUCUGAAAACCGUGACAAAGCUCAAGUUGACUUGAAUGGGGCCAAAAUAUCACCCCUUAUCUUUACAUUCUCUGGUCCUUAGUUUGCCCAUCUACAUAGGCACAGUUGUAUACAGUUUGCCAUGAUGUUGUUCCAGUAUUGGUGAAGUGCUUUGAGUUAUCAGGAAUGCAGAGGUCUUCCUUCAGCAUUUACAAUACAUUUUUAAGUGCCAUGUCCAACAUAAAACAGAAACCCAUAUAAAUUGCAGAAGGCUGUUUUGCACCCAAAGGCUUGUCUAACUAACUGCACAGUUGGUCCAAUAAAAGAUAUUACCCAAAAUUCUUAGCUAAUGGAAUUCAUCCUGUGGGGACACAGUAAUACUUUGCAUUGUUUGGAGGAUAGCUACAGAUAGCUAAAGUCACUCCAUAACAAGCCACAAGAAUGAAUAUAUGCAUCAUCUACACAAAAGCCUUUAAAGACGUGAAAGUUUCAUUGUGGUUUACAGUUUAUGUUAUUUCUUCCAACCCAUAACCCAGGUGUCUGUAUCAAUACGUGUUUUCCUUGCAGUUCAGUUUUAAAUUGGUUGUCAUAGGCCUUUUGUCAAAGUUUCUAAUUAGAAAGGAAUUUCAAAGGAUCUAGUAGUCUCACAAGUAAUGAAUGACUUAUGAUUUUAUGUUACAGUUUUCUGGCACAGCCCAAUAAAACAGUAAGCAUAUUAUCUAUCUUUUAAAUAUACUUAUAUAUGUUUGGAGUUGCUUGCAAUUUUUGAGUCAUUUGCCAUCUCAAAACCCUAUUCCAAACCACAAAAAGCAGCUAGCUCUCAUUUGAGCCUCUUGUGAUAUUUCCAAGGGACAUUGGUGACACAUACAGGAUAGGGCACAUGUGUAUGACAUACUGUACUUGACAAAUGUGUUAGACACAUGCUUCAAAGUGAAAGCUCUGUCAGAGCACUGAUACAUCAUGCUUGCUUGCAAAAAAACAGGAUAUAUAACUGGAUUUCAGGUACUCUCUUACUGGGGACAAUACUACAGUAUACUGUCAGAUUUAAACAAGAAUCAAUGUAGUGGACUUUUCAUACAUUUCCUUGUCAUUCUUGCUAAUUAUCGGUAUAAGACAAACUCAAAAGAUUCAGAUACAUUCCCAGAUAAUUUUGCAUUCCUGAAUAUUUUAAAGACUUGUUUUCUCUUUCUCCUUCCCUAUAUCCCCACAUUCUCUUUAUCUUCUGUGUCUGACUAGAUUUUAGUGUCCUCUUUCCUUUUCUGUGACCAAAUUUCCCUCAUCCAUCCUGGGUGCAAUUCAUUCUUAGGUUAAUUUCCUGGACUGAUUCCAGUGAUACUUGCCUUACAGUAUCAUUUGCUUCUCUUUACACUCUUUCUAUUAGCCUAAAAGAAUCAUGGAAAUUAAGUGCUGGAAGGGACCUCGAAAGAUCGUCGAGUCCAACCCCCCUGCUCUGGGCAGGAAUAGACCAAAUGAUCCCAGCAAGGUGUCUGUCCAGUCUCCUUUUGAAGAUUUCGAAGGUUGGGGACUGUACCACCUCCCUGGGAAUUCUAUUCCAGAUUCUGGUCACCCUUACCAUAAAGAAGUUCUUCCUUACAUCUAACCUGAAACCAUCCUCUAACAGUUUAUGGUCACUGCUCCCUGUCCUCUCCUGGGGCGCCCUAGUGAACAGUUUUUCUCCCAGCUCCCAAUAUUCAUCCCUUACAUAUUUAGAGAUGGCCACCAAAGUAUCAAUACUAUCUUUAUCCAUCUAUACAAUUUUCAUACCAUCAAGUUAAAUUUAUCAGCCUGGCUAAUUAAUCAAAACGUACAUUAACAGGCUACCUAAGGCUAGGUAAGAAUUCAUCGCACAUUUCUGAAUCCAGGGAUUCUUUAAAGCCCAAGUAUUCUACAGAGACACUUCCAUCAACUAUAUUAUCUCACAUACCAUACACCCUCAAGUAAUGCACGCAUAUUGUUUUGGAAGGCAGAAUGUAGAAAAAGAUUUUUCUGGAGUCAUGUCCAAGUGUAUGACACAGUCCUCCUGGAAGCACAGUGUCCAAGAAGCAUGGCAUCCCAGGAGAUAGCCUGGGUGAUGCAGCAGGAACUUCCUGGCACAGUAGGACAGCAACAAGGUUAGCCCCCGGAUCACUGCAAGGACAGUACAAAACAGCUCUUUUUAUAAGUUCUUGUGAACUGUAAAGUGUUGUUUCCAUACUACAAGUCUCAUCAACAUGCCAUAGACUGCAUGCAGCAGCUAACUUGCUCUGAGCCAGGUUAGUUGCUGUUUCAGGCACAAGCUACCAUGCUUAGGCAAUAGUUAAUUCAAAUUCCUUAGCAGCUGAGAGAGGCUUAACAUUGGAUUCCACUGGAUUCUACUUGCUGGGUCUGAGAGAAGCUGGAGCACUUUGGUAGCCAUUAGAGUACCAUGCCUCUAUACUUCUAUUCCAGCAAAGAAAAACUUCCCUGCUUAAGGCAUGUACCUCAGUUGUAAAGGGCUGAUUUGGGGAGGAAAAGGGGUGUGUGCAUGUACUUUAUGUGAAUAAAUACAUUCAUUUUUUUACAUUUAUUGGAUGAAAUAUAAAGUUGGGAUCAGAUACACAUCAGAAAAGAUAUUUGUCCAAAAAGGUUUGAACUGUGAAAUAAAUACAGCUGGAGAUAUAAGUUGUUUCUCAUACUAACCAAUGUGCAUUUCAAAUUAAUAUCUCAAACAGUAAUUAUUAAAUGUAUCACAUGUAUGUAAGAUGUAUUUCUUUCAUUAUUGUGUUCCUGUACAUCUCUUCUUCCAACUUGAUCAAAUGUAUGCAAGCUAUAGAAAUGUAUAUAAAUAUCAAUAAACAAAUCCUUCAGUGAA